UACAGAGGGUGCGAGCGUUGUCCGGAAUCACUGGGCGUAAAGGGCGCGUAGGCGGCUUGAUAAGCGUGCGGUGAAAGCCCGGGGCUCAACCCCGGGUCGGCCGUGCGAACUGUCGAGCUGGAGCACUGUAGAGGCAGGUGGAAUUCCGGGUGUAGCGGUGGAAUGCGUAGAGAUCCGGAAGAACACCAGUGGCGAAGGCGGCCCGCUGGGCAGUGGCUGACGCUGAAGCGCGACAGCGUGGGGAGCAAACGGG
rnacentral:rRNA from 1 species